rnacentral:rRNA from 1 species
CCUGGUCGGUAUACCUCGGGAACUGAGGCUAAUGACGGAUAAAAGAUUUUUUCUGGAAUGAUUAAUCUUUGAGAGCUUGCGAUAGGAUGGGGCUGCGGCUGAUUAGGUAGUUGGCGGGGUAACUGCCCACCAAGCCUGUGAUCAGUAAGGGCUCUUAGCGGAGAAGCCCUGAGAGGGAGUCUGAGACACUACUCCCAGCCCUACGGGGUGCAGCAGUUAGGAAACUUUUGCAAUGCGCGAAAGCGUGACAAAGCAAGCCAGAGUGAUUUUCUAUAAUUGAAAAUCUUUUGUGAGAUGCAAAAAGUCUCACGAAUAAGGACUGGGCAAGACUGGUGCCAGCCGCCGCGGUAAUCCCAGCAGUCCGAGUCGCAGCCACAUUUGUUGGGUCUAAAACAUCCGUAGCUUGCCUUGUAAGUCUCUUGUGAAAUCGGGCCUCUUAAGGGUCCGGCGAGCAAGAGAUACUGCUUGGCUAGAGACCGGGAGACGUAAGGAGUACUAUAGGAGUAGCGGUAAAAUGCGUUGAUCCUUAUAGGACUACCAAUAGCGAAGGCACCUUACGAUAACGGUUCUGACAGUGAGGGAUGAAGGCUAGGGGCGCAAAGUGGAUUAGAUACCCAUGUAGUCCUAGCAGUAAACACUGCACACUAAACAUUAGUGCCUCCUCGAGAGGCAUUAGUGCUGUAGGGAAGCCGGAGAGUGUGCUACCUGGGAAGUAUAGCCGCAAGGCCGAACUUGAAGGAAUUGGCGGGGGAGCAC